GACAGCAGCCGCCGCGGUAAUACGUAGGUCCCGAGCGUUGUCCGGAUUUAUUGGGCGUAAAGCGAGCGCAGGCGGUUAGAUAAGUCUGAAGUUAAAGGCUGUGGCUUAACCAUAGUACGCUUUGGAAACUGUUUAACUUGAGUGCAAGAGGGGAGAGUGGAAUUCCAUGUGUAGCGGUGAAAUGCGUAGAUAUAUGGAGGAACACCGGUGGCGAAAGCGGCUCUCUGGCUUGUAACUGACGCUGAGGCUCGAAAGCGUGGGGAGCAAACAGGAUUAGAUACCCCUGUAGUCCCUGUCUCUUAUACA
rnacentral:rRNA from 1 species